CGUUAAAGGAGGAGUAUGUGUAAGAAAGGAGGCAGGUGUUGGUGAGAAGCACGAGCAAGGCAUCCAUUUCAGGCCCCCAGAGCAGUCUGGCCUGGGGUUCAGUGUCACCAGGGAUAUUUCUUUGACUCUUUAGUGUAGGAGGGAGGCGCCGAGACAAAAGAAAGAUGAGAAAGCAAUGAGGGGAGCUUUUACUUGGGACCUAAUUCUGACCCACAAGGCAGAGCUUGUUGGAAGGACUGGAAGGCCAAACCCUAAUUUGAGACUCCAGGAAUGAACCCCAGGCUUCUCAUCACUGACCUUCCAGAGAACUUGCCACCUCUACAGCAGUCAAGAACUCAAGUUCUUGAGUCUGGAAGCCACUGCUACCAGUUGAACCAAUGUUGAAUCAAGAAACACGCUCUUCAGCUGUGAUAAAGGAAUCAGGAAGUUGAGACUGAAACUUUGGUUACAAACUCGACAUUCACUGAAUGUUUCUCAUUGACAGGACCUGUGUCACGCUCUAAACUAGUGAAAGCGAUUCUGGGAAGUUUUUGGGUUUUCGUUCUCAGCAGUCUAGGAGUGCACACCUUUAUUCCCACUCUUAAAUACUAAUAAAAAAAAAAACAGCAACAGCAUCAUGCUCCUGCCCAAUAUAACCAUCCCUUCAUACAAACAAUCCACUCAUCCAUCCAUCUUUUUUUGUUGUUAAAAUCAGACUUAUGCCGAAUAUACAAUUACAGAUUUUGACAAAGCUGAUUAGUAGCCACAGACUUUCAUCCUUGAAUAAUAGAUAAUUGCCAAGAAUCUCCCAUUCAAUCUUGACUAUAGAAACAGCCUAGUAGCUAUUUACCUCGCUAUGUUUUAAGGCAGGGCACUAAAAUUUACAAUGCUGUUUUACACAUACAACUUCAUUUGAUUAUCACAUCAUUUGGUGAACUGGACAUA